CGUUACCCUGGGAGACAGGAAGCCUUAGCCUUUGGCACCCACCAUGGGACCCAACGCUAGUGGGGCCCCACUUCACGGAGGUGAGCCGCCCAGAAGUGAGGGAAGCCCACUGCUUCCGAGAAAGAAACCUAGUUACCCUUGUGGAAGAAGGGUUCAGACCUCACCGCAUCAGGCUAUAUUGCACUGCAUAAGCAAGCUGGCAGUGGAGGGAUGGCUUGGAGUGGUCAUUUCUUCCCAGGGGAUGUACUCCAUCUACCUGUGUUCAUUCACACUCAGUCCCUCUCCUUCCAGUCUGUAGCUCCCAACUCCCACCCGGCGCCCAUAUUCAGCCUUUACUAGAGACUCAAAGGACACCUCUUCCAUGAAGGCAUCUCUGACCUCCCUGGCAGAGGUCCCAUCUAUUUGCCCUGGCAUCCCUGCCCUGGCCCAUUCUCCUGGCUGUCCCAGAGAACAAACCUCAGCAUCCUGAUGAACUCAUCCUUGGAAAUGAGGCCAUUCCCAUCAAAGUCGUACAUGCGGAACAUAAGGCGAGACUUUUCCUCAGGAGAGCCUGGGAGAGGGAGGACUCCAUAAGGAGAGCCCCCGCCUGCCUGCCUGAACCCCCAGGCUGGCCAAAAGGGGCCUCACACCAGUGUGAUGACCCACUUCUGGACACAGCAAGGGUCGCUCUGCUUCCUGACCUCGGCCUGGGCACUUCUGGGCAUCUGCCAUGGCUGGAGACCUGGUCCCAGGGCUUCCCCAUCUCCAACAGAUCAGCCCCUGUCCAGCCUCUCCUAUCAUUCCCUCCUCCCUCACCUUUCAUGAAGACCACCAGGAUGUCCAGGAACUCUCGGAAGGACAGGUAGCCAUUGCCAUCCUUGUCAGCCAGAGAGAACAUGGACUCCACAAACAUGUCCUGGGGCUUGAGGCCCAGGGACUCGGCAAACUCGGCCCUGCUCAGCUCACAGGUCAGGGCCUCCCGCACCUUCUGGGAGGAGUCCAGGGGCAGGGUCCCUGCGUCGGCCUGGUUGAUGUCCAGCACCUGCACUUGGGCAGAAGCAGAGGGAGGGAGAGGAGACAAGGCUUCCUUGACUUGAAGUUCAGCUGAGCCCUGUAGGAGCCACCUUUUGAGGUGUCUGCCCAGGACCCCCUCUGCUAGGAGGCCUUAUGGUGGUGCCUGAGGCCAUGUUUGUUCUACAGAACCCUGACCCUCUGCCUUAGCUGACUGGACAGGGAACUCACUUGGAAUUAAGAAGUGUGAGGUCUGUCUUGACUUGAGCACAAGAAAGCUCAGAAAGUGUGGACCACUCUCUUCCUCCAAGUGCUCAGCCACUUAGAGAUCAAGUAAGGCAAAGGCAGCCUAGGGGAGGAGUGGCCUCAUUGGCUGACAGCUUUCCUUUUCUAGGUCCUUUCAGGCCAGGUUGAUGUCCUCCCUUUGGAAUUCCUGAGACAUCUCUGUAUUCUCAGAGUCAAGUGACCCUUUGUCAAUGCUAGCUUAUUGGGGUUUCUCUUAUUUAUGUGUAAAAAAAGUUUUAACUAAGACAAGGCUUCAGCUGGAUUGAGGAAAAGCUGGGCUUGAGAAAGGGGAAUUCUCAUUGUGGCCAUCCCCAGCCCACCCAGAGGCUUCCCCAGUAUGAGAGAACAGACAGUGAGGAAGCAGGCAGGCCACAGGCCACAGUACCUGUCUUUCCUGCCUGUCAAGUGAGGUGCCUACUCCAAGUCUGGUGAUGGUUUCAUGGGGUAAACCUUACAGCUUCAAACAAGGUGCUGUAGUGGGAAGAGCCUAGGGCUGGAGGCAAGAGACCUGGGUUCAUGUCCCAACUCUGUCACCUGCUUGCUGAAUGACCUCAUGCAAGUCUCUUCGGUUGCCUGGAAUUCAUUUCCUCAUCUGCCCUACUUAUCUCACAGGUUUAUUGCGAGAUCAACAAAAGUGGUUGUGUUGAAAAUGUUCUGAAAGCUGAAAUCAUAUGAGACACUGACAGCCACCCCCAGGAUAUAUCAGCACCCUUCGUGUCUCAGCACAGGGAGUUCCCAUAGCCCCGAAGGAUCCUGAAUGAGUGGAGAUGCCCAGUCCUGCCUGGGCUCUGGGAAGGAGUCACCCAGCUGAGGGUCCCUCUGUUCUUGUACAUAUUCAAGUUCAACUUGUUUGUCCUCAAAUGACUUUAAAUCAUGUUCCUGGCACAGAGUAAAUGUCUGUUCAAUGGA